GUACUGGUAAUGUAGACUUCCAAUAAAAUUGAAACAGUACAAAGAAGAUUAGCAUGAUCCUGGGAAUGAAUGAUUUGCACAAAAGUCAGAAAUAUUCCAAAAGUUU